rnacentral:lncRNA from 1 species
GGGCUAGCCUCGGGGACCUCAGCUCCGCCGCUCGCCGCCGCCGCCCCUCGGCCCGGUCUCCGCGCAGGUGAGCCCUGGCCGCCCGCUGCAACAGGUGGCCCGCAGCGCCCCGCGCCCCGACGGCGGCCUGACCCCGACUGCCCGCGCCCCUCCCUCCCCCGGAUGUCCCAAUGCCCAAAACUCCAUGCCCACAGCUUUAUCGCGUUUGUCUGGGCCACGCCUGAGGUGGGGGUAUUCCUAUCAGGGGCGCCCUUUCUGAGCCGUUAGCCGGGCUGUAGCCAGCCGGGCCUUUCCUGCAUUUCGCAAGCUGGGUUACAUAAUGGACCUCAACUGCAGCGAGGAGGGGCCUCUUGGCUGAACGCCCCUCCUCAUCAAAGCUGGGGAGAGGGAAAGUUAGAAGGUUGAAGGACUCCUGGUGCGGCCCAGUUUCCAUUUGUAGGAGGGGAGGGGGAUUGGGGGGGUUGAAUUUCCCUAUAAAUAAAACGCUGGCUUGGUGAAGACCACCCCACCCUUUCCCUGUGGCCUCUAAGAGUUGACAAUAAUAAACCCUGGGGAAGGAUAAUUGGCUGGUGACCCCAAAUUUCAGGCUUCUCUUCUCCUGCUCCUCAGAGGGCAAGAGAUUUGUGAGGCUUGAAGUUAUCAGUGGGGUUAUUCGCUGUUCCCCACCCACCCCAUCCCCACCUGGAAGAGCUGGCCACGGGCCUCCUGUCUGGAUGAAAGUAGGCCCAGUGGGCAGGUAACUCCCUAAACCCAUGCCUGUUUUUCUCUGAAAUUCUCUGGAAGGAUCCAGAUUUUCUCCUUGCCUAUUCUUGCCUCCAAGUCCAGGAUGCACAGAGCUACCAGAUAUCAACUGGUUGUCAUCUUCCACUCUUGCUGCAGCUAAGAGCCAGCCCAGCCUUAACUGGCAUCGUCUCUCAGACAGCCCCGGUCCUAACACAUUGUUAGGUGGGCCCUUGUCAGCAUUUUGAUGAGCAGUGUUGAUCUCGGAGGGUUGACCUUCCUGCCCCUCUCUCAGCUGGGAGGAGCAGGCUCAGAAGAGUAGAGCAGUAAGAAUGCAGUCUUGACUGUGUUUACUUUGGGGGAUUCCAGGAAAUGCUGCAACAAAAGGUCCUGCAGGCCAAAAAAGAAAGCUUACCCUCCAGAGAUAAGGGGAUCAAAGGGAACCUUCCCAGGCCUGUUGCCCCAAGGACCAGCUCCCCCGCCUUCUCCCUCCUUCUCUGCUGGACGCGCCCUCUCUGGUCCAUUGUGCACUUUUGUCUGCUUUUCCUGCCUGAAAAGGAGGAAGUGAGCCCGGACCCAGCCAGCACUCUGCCCUCCGCAGCUGCCUUUCAGCUCAGCUUUCCUAGAAGGGCUUUGACAGAUGGAAGAGGACUUGUGGAAACAGGCCCAAGCUGACUCAAAGAUGAGAUUGGAGAACGGCUCUCCCUUCCCCCACCAGAAGGGGGUUACUGAAGGUCAUCUCAUCCAUCCCCCUGCCUCCAUACACAGCUGGGUCAUCUGAGCAUAGGCUGUUCUGCAGACACUACCAAUGUCACCAAAGUGGGCUGGCAUCUUUCCCCCUUUCCACACCCUCUCACUACUGUUGCCUCCUCCACAUAGCCCCAGGGCAACCAUUUUAAAAGCCCAAUUAGAUCCUACCUAAAAUCUUUCAAUGGCUCCUAAUCAAGUAAUAAUUAAUACAGUCCAGAAUCUUUAGUAUGUCCCUGAAGAUCUCUUAUAAUCCCAUCAAUUCUUACCUCUUCAGCCACCUGUCCCAGCUCUCCCGUCCUCUGGCUUCACAGAAGCUGUUAGUUUCAGCUGGAAAUGCUUCCCCACCUACUGCUGUCUCUGCUUGGUGAACACAUCAAGAAGGCCAGUUGAUGGUGUGGGGAAGGAUCAUGUGCAGAAAUCACAAAAAUUAAGAUCAGGAUAGCUCUGUUGGAGGGGGGCUUUAGUGUUGGAACUGUAAACUGAUAACAAUAGGGAGCUAUUGAAAGUUCUUGAGCAAAGUAGUUGUCUUAGUCUACUAGGACUGCUGUAACAAAAUGCCAUAAACUGGGUGCUUAUAAACAAUAGAAAUUUAUUUUUCACAGUUCUGGAGGCUGGGAAGCUGAAGAUCAUGGCACCCACGAUUUGGUGUGUGGUGAGGGCCCAUUUUCUGGUUCCCAGACAACGGCCUUCUUCCUGUGUCCUCAAAUGGUAGGAGGGACAAGCUAGCUCCUGUGGGCCUCAUUUGUAACAGCACUAAUCCCAUUCCUGAGGGCUCCACGCCAAUGAUCUAAUCACCCCCCACAAGGCUCCACCUAAGACCUUGGAGGUUAUGAUUUCAACAUAUGAAUUUGGGAGGGACACAAAUGUUCAGACCGUAGCAGAAGUAAUUUCCUGAAUGUUGUUGGGGGAGGACACCAGCAGAAACAAACUGGAUUCACCUGUCCUUACUCCUCAGCUUUUGGAGUUAGUCUUCAGAAUAGAAGAACAAGGAGAAGGAGGAGGGGAAAGGAGAAUAGAAGGAACAGAAGGAGGAAGGGGGGAAGGGAGAAAGGUAAAAGGAAAAGAAAAAGAAUCUGUGUCCCUGGACCAAGGAAGAUUGGAAGCCGGGAGGGGGAACAUCCUUCUACCUCCUUAUCACUGUUGCCAACAAAAAGGAAGAUUAAACAGAAAUAGUAAAGUUCCUCCAUAAUGUAGCCCUCCCUCGGGGAGGGGAGAGAGCAAAAAACAAAACAAAACAAAAAAAACACUGAGAUAAGACUGACCUAGGAGUUAGACAAAUAAUUCCUCCGGAAUACAAAGACUUUACAAGGGUGAACAUAGCAGACGAGUCCUGUAGGGGCUUCGUCCUGAACACAGCUCUUUCUGCCCCAGCCCCAGGAGCACUGAGGUAAAAUAUGGGCUCAUGCAGUCACGGUCCUCUCACCCCACUCCAUGACUCAUUGAAAGUGAGCUGCUAGCUUCCUAUCCUGCCCAUCUUACUUCACAGCCGCUGUGCCCCAGCUUCUGGCCUUGUGCUAGGCACUAGGGACAUCCCUGACUAAUACUGUUCAGGAGAGACGCUCAGACUUGUGCACAGACAUUCACAGCACUGUGUCAGCAAGAAGUGCUGUCAUUGUGAUCCUGUUUUCUGAACCCCAAAUUGAAGCACGUAGCCCAGCUUGUACAAGUGCACUCAGGAGGACCACAAAACAGAAAGUUCAAAUCCAACCUAUGCUGACCACCCUGAGCCUGUGAAUUCUGGAGCUCUGACGGGCACAUAGAGAGCAACAAGGUUCAACUCAUACAACUGGACAUUCUCUUAUCGCCCUUGAUGAAGAGGGCAAUAUUUUAUUCCUAUUGUCAUCAUUGUUAUUAUUAUUCUGCUUUGGCAGAAGAGGCCCUUUGCCUUAGAGUCCUUCCUCCAUCACAUUCCUGGGGACAAAAAGGAAGAUCCUGUUUAUUUCCAAUCAAGGGAGUUGAUUCUGGGGUCGGCCAGAACCAGUGAAACAGGAACUGAUUCCUUAAAUCUUCCAACUGUGCAUUAGCAGCUGAGAGAAGAACAGGGCCAGUUAACCAAGUUUUGUUAGCAUUCCUAACUAUCCUUAGCUGUAUUUCUCUUCAGCCUGGCCUCAUUUCUUUCAGGCCCAGCCCCCGGGCAGGUUAAGAUGGUUGCUGUAAUUAAUCAUGCCGUGGGCCCUAAUUCAGACUCACCACAUUCAAAUUUCAAUUUAAAAAAAAAAAGGCGGGGUGUCUACUUAAGAAAUGCUCCGCUUAUGAAAUGCUCUUUGUUGCCGAAGCAGCCCCCUUUCAGCCUAAAGGAGAAAGUCUAGGAAGUGCAGGAAAGAAGAAAGGUUUCCAGGGCCCUCUUCAAAGUACUUGCACAUAUGUGAGGGGACUGAGGAUGAUCUGUGCUCCAAAGCCCCUCCAGUAUUUCCCAAUCAGAACAAACUGAAUUUUUAAAAAUAUAUAUUAAAUACCAUCAUAAUAUCUAGGAUGAGUGUUCAUUCCACAAAUGUUAAUUUAUUAUUCUCAGUGCCUCUAGUUUUCCUUCUCUUUUUUUUUAUUUUUAUUUUUUUGAGACAGGGUCCCAGGCUGGAGGGUAGUGGCGCAAUCAUAGCUCACCACAGCCUCGACCCCAGGGCUCAGGUGAUCCUCCUGCCUCACCCUCCCAAGUAGCUGGGACUACAGGCACUCACCACCACACCUGGCUAAUUUUUUUGUAUUUUUUGUAGAGAUGGGAUUUUGUCAUGUUGGCCAGGCUGGUCUUGAAUUCCUGGGGUCAAGCGACCUACCCACCUCAGCCUCCCAAAGUACUGGGGUUAUGGGCAUGAGUCACCGCACAUGGCUGUUUUCCUUCUCUUUAGGUCUUAAAAGGUUUUGUCAUUAUUUCUCUGUGAAAAUGCAAACAAUAGGACUGAGCAUGGUGGCUCAUACCUGUAAUCUAGCACUGAGACCAGCCUGGGCAACAUAGUAAGAUUCUCUUGCUAGAAAAAUAAAAAUAAAGUAAAAUGCAAACAUUAGUUGGCUGUGGAGAAUGGAGUGGGUUUGAGGAAGGUGGGAGUGGGAAAGGAGCUUCUGCUUUUCACUCCAUUUCUUCUGUGGUUUUGGUAACAUGCGUAUACUACUUUUAUAAUUAAAAACAAAAAAGGAGGAGAUUGGCACAGAAUAGAGAAUUUACCAUGAAAACUACUAUCUGCUAAUCUCUUAGUACUAUUUUAACAAAUCCUGAAAACAGCAAUGAGAAACAAAUCUUAUUUCCCAUUUUACCUGGAACUCGCCGCAACUCCAAGUCCUUGGCUGGGCAUGGGAGGCAAGUCAUCGCUGACUUGGAGGAGGGGGGCUCACGUUGGACCUUCAAGAGGGAAAGAGAACCCACCCAACUGUCUAUUUCCAGUGGGAGCACCUUUCCAGAAUCCCAGCUUGACUUGGAGAGGUUCUGCCACUUGGAAGUUGGGGAAGGGUUCCUCCCACCCUCAAUUAAAAUACAUAGAACUUGGUAGUCAGUUCAUUAAGGUGGUCCCCUAGUAUCUGUAUUUUUCUCAAGUACUCCCAAAAUAAUUUGGAUUUAUGAUCAUCCAAAACUCACUGCUUUAGAAAUCAUCUACUCCAAUUACUGAUGAGGGAAACUGAGGCUUAAAGGGCAGAAGGGACUUGCCCAAGGUCACCCAGCAAAUAAGCAGGUGACCCCAGGCCAGAAAAGAAAACAGGACUCCUCCUAUGUCCCACUAAAAACAGGAUAAGGAGGCUGAGAGGAGCACCUGAAAGAUGCCAUUUCACAUCUAAUCACUUCUUGUCACGUUGCAACCAUUUUCCUCAUAUGGAGCCUCACGCUGAUAGAUCAGAAAUAACAUUUUGAAAGUUAUGUCUGCAAGGAAAUGGCUAUUAAUGUUCUUCCUCUCCUUUUAGAGCAUCAAGGAAUACAUAUUAAUUUUCUCUCUACUUACAUUGCCUAUUUGCAAAUUGUAUUCACUACUCAGUGCUCCAAUUUGUCCCACCCCUGAAGAGAUUAUGAUGAAUAAAUGUGUUCCUGGAAAUAAAAAAUUUGUCCCUGAGAUUUAUUUUUAUAAUUAUUUACAGGGAUUAUUUUAGAAUAUAUGGGGGGGCAAUAAUGUGCACAUAAGGGUUCCGGUGUGACUUACCA